rnacentral:rRNA from 1 species
AGAGUUUGAUCCUGGCUCAGGAUGAACGCUAGCUACAGGCUUAACACAUGCAAGUCGAGGGGAAACGAUAUUGGAAGCUUGCUUCCGAUAGGCGUCGACCGGCGCACGGGUGAGUAACGCGUAUCCAACCUGCCCACCACUUGGGGAUAACCUUGCGAAAGUAAGACUAAUACCCAAUGAUAUCUCUAGAAGACAUCUGAAGGAGAUUAAAGAUUCAUCGGUGAUGGAUGGGGAUGCGUCUGAUUAGCUUGUUGGCGGGGUAACGGCCCACCAAGGCUACGAUCAGUAGGGGUUCUGAGAGGAAGGUCCCCCACAUUGGAACUGAGACACGGUCCAAACUCCUACGGGAGGCAGCAGUGAGGAAUAUUGGUCAAUGGGCGAGAGCCUGAACCAGCCAAGUAGCGUGCAGGAUGACGGCCCUAUGGGUUGUAAACUGCUUUUAUAAGGGAAUAAAGUGAGAGUCGUGACUCUUUUUGUAUGUACCUUAUGAAUAAGGACCGGCUAAUUCCGUGCCAGCAGCCGCGGUAAUACGGAAGGUCCGGGCGUUAUCCGGAUUUAUUGGGUUUAAAGGGAGCGUAGGCCGGAGAUUAAGCGUGUUGUGAAAUGUAGAUGCUCAACAUCUGCACUGCAGCGCGAACUGGUUUCCUUGAGUACGCACAAAGUGGGCGGAAUUCGUGGUGUAGCGGUGAAAUGCUUAGAUAUCACGAAGAACUCCGAUUGCGAAGGCAGCUCACUGGAGCGCAACUGACGCUGAAGCUCGAAAGUGCGGGUAUCGAACAGGAUUAGAUACCCUGGUAGUCCGCACGGUAAACGAUGGAUGCCCGCUGUUGGUCUGAAUAGGUCAGCGGCCAAGCGAAAGCAUUAAGCAUCCCACCUGGGGAGUACGCCGGCAACGGUGAAACUCAAAGGAAUUGACG